CUUGCAUUAUUUCCAAAAAGGGUCACCCAAGGUUGAUUGCAGCCUUAUCCAAACUCUACUCCAAGCUGAUUGGUAGGGAGCUUAACCCACUGAGUGAAGUGCUUGUCACUGCUGGGGCAUAUGAGGCCCUCUUUGUUACCAUUAUGGGUCUAGUGAAUCAAGGUGAUGAGGUCAUCAUCAUUGAGCCAUUCUUUGACUGCUACGUUCCGCAGGUGAAGCUAGCAGGUGGCACGCCAGUGUUUGUACCUCUCCGUCCAAAGAAGCCAAGUGGGACUAUGUCCUCUGCAGAUUGGGUGCUGGACCCUGUAGACUAGAAGCAGCCCUUUCAGUG